rnacentral:rRNA from 1 species
UACGGGGGGAGCUAGCGUUGUUCGGAUUUAGACUGGGCGUAAAGCGCACGUAGGCGGUUGUUAAGUCAGGGGUGAAACUCCCACAGCUCAACUUCGGAACUGCCUUUAAUACUGCCAGUCUAGAGUCCGGAAGAGGUAAGUGGAACUCCGUAGUGUAGAGGUGGAAUUCGUAGAUAUUAGGAAGAACACCAGUGGCGAAGGCGGCUUACUGGUCCGGUACUGACGUGAGGCUGCGAAAAGCGUGGGGAGCAAACAGG